rnacentral:misc_RNA from 1 species
GCAAUCACUGGGAAGAAAAUCAUGAAUACUAACAACAAUCAACAAACAUGGAACUAGAAUGUCUAAAAAGUGCAUGAAGUUAGGAAUCUUUUUUAAAUAGAUCACAAGUUGCCAAUAGGGAUGCAAUAGAAUGUAUUAGGCAAAAAAUCCAAAAUAAAAUAACAUAAAAAAUAAGAGGAAGACAAGAUAGACGCCAGACCAUGGCCAAGGUGGAAAACAAUUUUGCAACUGCAAAACUAUUAGUAAGACUAACAAUUUACUCCCCCUCUUUUCAAGCUAGUUGGAAAGCACACAUUAUGAGAUACCAGAAUAAAUUCACGCAAAUUUUCUGAACUUAAGCCUGCAAGGAUACAAAUCUCAUACCAAAAUAAUAGAAAGGAACCUAUUUCCUAUAAGGUUGGCCAGGAUAAAGCACAGCAAUAAUUUCAAACAGCAUGAG